GUUUAUUUCUUGCGCCGAAAAUUUGGAAGCUCGUCGCGUUUUGUUUUUAAAACUUAUCUUUACGGUUAUUUACUGGAUUCGGUUUCGGGACUCCCGGUGUUGUGAUGCCCACCCGUUCCGAGCAGGGCUUAUUCAGUUGCGGCAGCAUGAUACAACACCGGGAAUUGGAUUUUCUGCUUACUGAAAUUCGUGCGCUUUUCAGCGCCUGAAUUUCAUCUCCCACAAAUAAGGCAGCGGUUUCCGUACAGCAGCAACGUUAUGUUGCGUGAGAACGGCGCACUCGAUUAGGUUAUUUCCAGGGUCCUGGUCCGCCGGCUAAACCGUUCACCAGACUUUCGGUGGCUUCCCUGCAUGCCGUAGCCCUGGAGCUACGGAAAAUUUUGGUGUACAGUUUCGCUUUUCACCCCUGUGUAAGUAUCUAAUAAAAUUUCAAUGAAGAUGAGUUGAAA